AUCAGGCUCCCAAGAGACUGACAUAUACUAAAAUUGGAACGAUACAGAGAUUAACAUGGCUCCUGUGCAUGGAUGACACGCAAAUCUAUGAAGCGUUCCAUAUUUUU
rnacentral:snRNA from 1 species